GUCGAACGGCAGCACGGAGCUUGCUCUGGUGGCGAGUGGCGAACGGGUGAGUAAUAUAUCGGAACGUACCCUGGAGUGGGGGAUAACGAGGCGAAAGCUUUGCUAAUACCGCAUACGAUCUCAGGAUGAAAGCAGGGGACCGCAAGGCCUUGCGCUAACGGAGCGGCCGAUGGCAAAUUAGGUAGUUGGUGGGAUAAAAGCUUACCAAGCCGACGAUCUGUAGCUGGUCUGAGAGGAUGAUCAGCCACACUGGGACUGAGACACGGCCCAGACUCCUACGGGAGGCAGCAGUGGGGAAUUUUGGACAAUGGGGGCAACCCUGAUCCAGCCAUGCCGCGUGCAGGAUGGAGGCCUUCGGGUUGUAAACUGCUUUUGUACGGAACGAAAAGGCUCUUUCUAAUAAAUGGGGCUCAUGACGGUACCGUAAGAAUAAGCACCGGCUAACUACGUGCCAGCAGCCGCGGUAAU
rnacentral:rRNA from 1 species